GUGCGACGUGAGUAUGCGACGAACCACCCUGGAGUGGACGCCGGAACUGAGUUCUUCGUGUCAGGCUUCAGUGUUGUUUUUUUCCUCUCUGGACGGGCUUCUGGUUUAGCUAGUUGGUGGGGUAACGGCCUAGAAGGGGCGAUGCCUACCGGGUGUGAGAGCAUGACCCGGCACACUGGAACUGAGACACUGUCCAGACACCUACGGGUGGCUGCAGUCGAGAAUCUUCGGCAAUGGGCGAAAGCCUGACCGAGCGACGCCGCGUGAGGGAUUGAAGGCCUUCGGGUUGUAAACCUCUUUCGUAGAGGAGGAAGGGACUGUGAAGAGCAGUUCUUGACCUAUUCUAGGAAGAAGCCAGGGCUAAGUUCGUGCCAGCAGCCGCGGUAAGACGAACCAAGCGAACGUUAUUCGGAAUUACUGGGCUUAAAGCGCGUGUAGGCGGACUGCCACGUCGGUUGUUGAAAUCCCCCGGCUUAACCGGGGAACAGGCACCGAUACGAGUAGUCUUGAGGUGGGUAGGGGAGACUGGAACUUCCGGUGGAGCGGUGAAAUACGUUGAGAUCGGAAGGAACGCCCGCGGCGAAAGCGAGUCUCUGGCCCCAUACUGACGCUGAGACGCGAAAGCCAGGGGAGCAAACGGGAUUAGAUACCCCGGUAGUCCUGGCUGUAAACAUUGGGCACUGGGUAGUGGAACCGCCGAUGGUUUCACUGCCGCAGGGAAACCGUGAAGUGCCCCGCCUGGGGAGUAUGGUCGCAAGGCUGAAACUCAAAGGAAUUGACGGGGGCUCACACAAGCAGUGGAGUAUGUGGCUUAAUUCGAGGCUACGCGAAGAACCUUACCUAGGCUUGACAUGCAAGGAUUAGUCGGCGGGGACGUCGAUGACGCCGCAAGGUGGAACUUGCACAGGUGCUGCAUGGCUGUCGUCAGCUCG
rnacentral:rRNA from 1 species